GACGAACGCUGGCGGCGUGCCUAAUACAUGCAAGUAGAACGCACAGUUUAUACCGUAGCUUGCUCCACCAUAAACUGUGAGUUGCGAACGGGUGAGUAACGCGUAGGUAACCUGCCUGGUAGCGGGGGAUAACUAUUGGAAACGAUAGCUAAUACCGCAUAAUAUUGAUUAUUGCAUGAUAAUUGAUUGAAAGAUGCUAUUGCAUCACUACCAGAUGGACCUGCGUUGUAUUAGCUAGUAGGGGAGGUAACGGCUCACCUAGGCGACGAUACAUAGCCGAACUGGUAGGGUGGUCGGCCACACUGGGGCUGGGACACGGCCCAGGCUCCUGCGGGACGCCGCAGUAGGGGAUCUUCGGCAAUAGACGGAAGUCUGACCGAGCGACGCCGCGUGAGUGAAGGAGGUUCUCGGAUCGUAAAGCUCUGUUGUAAGAGAAGAACGGGUGUGAGAGUGGAAAGUUCACACUGUGACGGUAUCUUAACAGAAAGGGACGGCUAACUACGUG
rnacentral:rRNA from 1 species